CGAAGCUAUUGGGCCCCCGUGCUGAAUUGCACCUCUGUCGGCUGCCACUGCCGAGAGCGCCUCCGGCCAAUUCCGGCCAAGCCAGAGCUCCUAUCUCUUUGCUAUCUCUACACUUAGCUUCAGCUUAACCCCGCAGCAACACUCACGCCCUGAUUGCACUUAGCAAAGCUUGUGACAGGAGCACCCACUUUGCGAGAGCUCUCAUCCGCCAUGGGCGAAGGCUUGCUCGGUCCCGAGCUCUCUGGUGAGCCUAUUCCCGGCCAGAAGGAGCAUCUGUGCCUCCUGAACACUCCGGAGUGCCGAGCCUGAGAAUUGCAGCUCCCUAUGUCACACACUCAUCGCUGGAUCCCUGCCUCUUGCUCUCUCACUGCGCGCGAGAGGUGGAAGAGAAACCCGACAGGUGGGAUCCACCUGUCGUUGUCGUUGAGCCAGCGGAGCCGCCGUUUGCGCUACCCAUGUGAAGCGUGUUUCCGCAGAGAAGACGUAUUACGGCCAAGUGCGUUUUCUAUUUCUGAAUUUGGAGAGAGGAGACUUACUUCAAGAUGUUGGGAUUGCACUCGGAGAGGAGUACGAUGCCGUCAAAACCGGAAUCUAGGAGUCAAGGAUAGCAGCCUUGUGAGAUAGGAAUUUAUCCAAGUCAGCUGUUCCCAUGGGCACUGGAAAAUUCCUCGAGUUGCUUCCGCCGUCAGCCUUAGACUUUUGUCCAAAGCAGUAGACCUUCAUGGUCUUGUAACCCAGAUUUUGUA